ACACCUCAACUCUCACGGUUUGCCGUGAUGAGCUUGGACUUUGGAGGUUUUUGCUGGCCCACGGUCGGCUCCUCUCAAAUGAAUUAGCUUGCCAGUUUUCGGUGGCAUCACAGGUGUGAUAACUAUCUACGCUUGCGGUCGUCCGCUGGGUAAACUUUCGGUGACGGAGGUUUGCUGGAGCUUAUAAACGUCUCUCCUCAGCGAAGACAGCCAUUUGAAC
rnacentral:misc_RNA from 1 species